rnacentral:rRNA from 1 species
CCUACGGGAGGCAGCAGUAGGGAAUAUUGCUCAAUGGGGGAAACCCUGAAGCAGCGACGCCGCGUGGAGGAUGAAGGUUUUAGGAUUGUAAACUCCUUUUGUUAGAGAAGAUUAUGACGGUAUCUAACGAAUAAGCACCGGCUAACUCCGUGCCAGCAGCCGCGGUCAUACGGAGGGUGCGAGCGUUCCUCGGAAUCACUGGGCGUAAAGUGUGCGUAGGCGGGGUAAUAAGUCAAAUGUGAAAUCCUGUAGAUUAACUACAGAACUGCAUUUGAAACUGUUACUCUGGAGUGUGUGAGAGGUUAGUGGAAUUCUAGGUGUAGGGGUAAAAUCCGUAGAGAUCAAGAGGAAUACUCGUUGCGAAGGCGACCAGCUGGAACAUUACUGACGCUGAUGAACGAAAGCGUGGGGAGCAAACAGGAUUAGAUACCCUAGUAGUC